CCCCUAGAUGUUCUGGGCCGCACGCGCGCUACACUGAACAGUUCAACAAGUCUUAACCUUGGCCGAUAGGUCUGGGUAAUCUUUGAACGCUGUUCGUGAUUGGGAUAGACCUUUGCAAUUAUGGGUCUUCAACGAGGAAUUCCUAGUAAACGCAAGUCAUCAGCUUGCAUUGAUUAUGUCCCUGCCCUUUGUACACACCGCCCGUCGCACCUACCGAUUGAAUGGUCCGGUGAAAUCUCGGGACGGCGGCUUGGUCGCUUGCGUCCGACUGCUGAAACUUGAUUAAACCAUAUCAUUUAGAGGAAGGUGAANUCGUAACA
rnacentral:rRNA from 1 species